GGUAUCAUGGCCGAGAAAUAGGCGGCGGGUUGUAAACCCGCGUACAGGGCGCAGGCCCUUGGUACCAG
rnacentral:tRNA from 1 species